GACGGAGGGGGCGAGCGUUGUCCGGAAUUACUGGGCGUAAAGAGCGUGUAGGCGGCCCACUAAGUCGGUUGUGAAAGCCCCGGGCUCAACUCGGGGAGGCCGACCGAUACUGGCGGGCUGGAGUGCGGGAGAGGAAAGUGGAACUACCGGUGUAGCGGUGAAAUGCGUAGAGAUCGGUAGGAACACCCGUGGCGAAGGCGGCUUUCUGGACCGCAACUGACGCUGAGACGCGAAAGCUAGGGGAG
rnacentral:rRNA from 1 species